rnacentral:ncRNA from 1 species
CGACCUGAGCUCAGGCGUGAUUACCCGCUGAACUUAAGCAUAUCAUUUAGCGGAGGAAAAGAAACUAACAAGGAUUCCCUCAGUAACGGCGAGUGAACGGGGAGAAGCCCAGCGCUGAAUCCCUGC